GGGUUGUGAGGUUAAGCGACUAAGCGUACACGGUGGAUGCCCUGGCAGUCAGAGGCGAUGAAGGGCGUGCUAAUCUGCGAUAAGCGCCGGUAAGGUGAUAUGAACCGUUAUAACCGGCGAUACCCGAAUGGGGAAACCCAGUGUGACUCGUCACACUAUCAUUAACUGAAUCCAUAGGUUAAUGAGGCGAACCGGGGGAACUGAAACAUCUAAGUACCCCGAGGAAAAGAAAUCAACCGAGAUUCCCCCAGUAGCGGCGAGCGAACGGGGAGGAGCCCAGAGCCUGAAUCAGCAUGUGUGUUAGUGGAAGCGUCUGGAAAGGCGCGCGAUACAGGGUGACAGCCCCGUACACAAAAGCGCAUGUGCUGUGAGCUCGAUGAGUAGGGCGGGACACGUGGUAUCCUGUCUGAAUAUGGGGGGACCAUCCUCCAAGGCUAAAUACUCCUGACUGACCGAUAGUGAACCAGUACCGUGAGGGAAAGGCGAAAAGAACCCCGGCGAGGGGAGUGAAAAAGAACCUGAAACCGUGUACGUACAAGCAGUGGGAGCACAGGUUUACCUGUGUGACUGCGUACCUUUUGUAUAAUGGGUCAGCGACUUAUAUUCUGUAGCAAGGUUAACCGCAUAGGGGAGCCGGAGGGAAACCGAGUCUUAAUUGGGCGUUAAGUUGCAGGGUAUAGACCCGAAACCCGGUGAUCUAGCCAUGGGCAGGUUGAAGGUUGGGUAACACUAACUGGAGGACCGAACCGACUAAUGUUGAAAAAUUAGCGGAUGACCUGUGGCUGGGGGUGAAAGGCCAAUCAAACCGGGAGAUAGCUGGUUCUCCCCGAAAGCUAUUUAGGUAGCGCCUCGUGAAUUCAUCUCCGGGGGUAGAGCACUGUUUCGGCUAGGGGGCCAUCCCGGCUUACCAACCCGAUGCAAACUGCGAAUACCGGAGAAUGUUAUCACGGGAGACACACGGCGGGUGCUAACGUCCGUCGUGAAGAGGGAAACAACCCAGACCGCCAGCUAAGGUCCCAAAGUCAUGGUUAAGUGGGAAACGAUGUGGGAAGGCCCAGACAGCCAGGAUGUUGGCUUAGAAGCAGCCAUCAUUUAAAGAAAGCGUAAUAGCUCACUGGUCGAGUCGGCCUGCGCGGAAGAUGUAACGGGGCUAAACCAUGCACCGAAGCUGCGGCAGCGACGCUUAUGCGUUGUUGGGUAGGGGAGCGUUCUGUAAGCCUGUGAAGGUGGCCUGUGAGGGUUGCUGGAGGUAUCAGAAGUGCGAAUGCUGACAUAAGUAACGAUAAAGCGGGUGAAAAGCCCGCUCGCCGGAAGACCAAGGGUUCCUGUCCAACGUUAAUCGGGGCAGGGUGAGUCGACCCCUAAGGCGAGGCCGAAAGGCGUAGUCGAUGGGAAACGGGUUAAUAUUCCCGUACUUGGUGUUACUGCGAAGGGGGGACGGAGAAGGCUAUGUUGGCCGGGCGACGGUUGUCCCGGUUUAAGCGUGUAGGUGUGUGUUCCAGGUAAAUCCGGUUCACUUUAACACUGAGGCGUGACGACGAGGCACUACGGUGCUGAAGCAACAAAUGCCCUGCUUCCAGGAAAAGCCUCUAAGCAUCAGGUAACAUCAAAUCGUACCCCAAACCGACACAGGUGGUCAGGUAGAGAAUACCAAGGCGCUUGAGAGAACUCGGGUGAAGGAACUAGGCAAAAUGGUGCCGUAACUUCGGGAGAAGGCACGCUGACACGUAGGUGAAGUGAUUUACUCAUGGAGCUGAAGUCAGUCGAAGAUACCAGCUGGCUGCAACUGUUUAUUAAAAACACAGCACUGUGCAAACACGAAAGUGGACGUAUACGGUGUGACGCCUGCCCGGUGCCGGAAGGUUAAUUGAUGGGGUCAGCGCAAGCGAAGCUCCUGAUCGAAGCCCCGGUAAACGGCGGCCGUAACUAUAACGGUCCUAAGGUAGCGAAAUUCCUUGUCGGGUAAGUUCCGACCUGCACGAAUGGCGUAAUGAUGGCCAGGCUGUCUCCACCCGAGACUCAGUGAAAUUGAACUCGCUGUGAAGAUGCAGUGUACCCGCGGCAAGACGGAAAGACCCCGUGAACCUUUACUAUAGCUUGACACUGAACAUUGAGCCUUGAUGUGUAGGAUAGGUGGGAGGCUUUGAAGUGUGGACGCCAGUCUGCAUGGAGCCGACCUUGAAAUACCACCCUUUAAUGUUUGAUGUUCUAACGUGGACCCGUAAUCCGGGUUGCGGACAGUGUCUGGUGGGUAGUUUGACUGGGGCGGUCUCCUCCUAAAGAGUAACGGAGGAGCACGAAGGUUGGCUAAUCCUGGUCGGACAUCAGGAGGUUAGUGCAAUGGCAUAAGCCAGCUUGACUGCGAGCGUGACGGCGCGAGCAGGUGCGAAAGCAGGUCAUAGUGAUCCGGUGGUUCUGAAUGGAAGGGCCAUCGCUCAACGGAUAAAAGGUACUCCGGGGAUAACAGGCUGAUACCGCCCAAGAGUUCAUAUCGACGGCGGUGUUUGGCACCUCGAUGUCGGCUCAUCACAUCCUGGGGCUGAAGUAGGUCCCAAGGGUAUGGCUGUUCGCCAUUUAAAGUGGUACGCGAGCUGGGUUUAGAACGUCGUGAGACAGUUCGGUCCCUAUCUGCCGUGGGCGCUGGAGAACUGAGGGGGGCUGCUCCUAGUACGAGAGGACCGGAGUGGACGCAUCACUGGUGUUCGGGUUGUCAUGCCAAUGGCACUGCCCGGUAGCUAAAUGCGGAAGAGAUAAGUGCUGAAAGCAUCUAAGCACGAAACUUGCCCCGAGAUGAGUUCUCCCUGAGACUUAGAGUCUCCUGAAGGAACGUUGAAGACGACGACGUUGAUAGGCCGGGUGUGUAAGCGCAGCGAUGCGUUGAGCUAACCGGUACUAAUGAACCGUGAGGCUUAACCUUACAACGCCGAAG
rnacentral:rRNA from 1 species